rnacentral:tRNA from 1 species
GGGAAUGUGGCUUAGUGGUAGAGUGCUUGCCUAACAUGCAUGAAGCCCUGGGUUAGAUUCCUCAGUACCA